CAUGGCGUCUGCCAUGAGCUCCUCUGUUCUCAGAGUGGGCACAAUCGGCUCGGCUUUUUUCCAUUGUACUGCCAAAAUUCACCGAUUUCGAGCACCAAAGGGAGCUUUUCAGAGGGAAUACAGAGGACUUAGGUGUGUCUGCAGGGAGGACUUGUCUAGCUGCUUUGCUGAUUCCUACACAAAAGCCCGGCUCCCAUGGCAGGGGUCCUCCGAGGGGAAAGAACAAAGCUACAGGACACCAGAAACCCCAUGAGCCAUCCAAAAACAUGAGGCAAAUGCUGAAAGAAUUGCUGCAGGGAGGAGGACAAGAAGUGGAUGGAGAGGCUGGGCAGAAGGCGGCGUUUACCGGAGGAAGCAGUGGUUCCGUGCCAGACUCUGCUGUAGGACUGGAGGCGAUGCCAGGCACAGUCACAGGAG